rnacentral:rRNA from 1 species
GACAGAGGGUGCAACCGUUGUUCGGAAUUACUGGGCGUAAAGCGCGCGCAGGCGGUCCUUUAAGUCUGAUGUGAAAGCCCACGGCUCAACCGUGGAGGGUCAUUGGAAACUGGGGGACUUGAGUGCAGGAGAGAAGAGUGGAAUUCCACGUGUAGCGGUGAAAUGCGUAGAGAUGUGGAGGAACACCAGUGGCGAAGGCGACUCUUUGGCCUGUAACUGACGCUGAGGCGCGAAAGCGUGGGGAGCAAACAGG